rnacentral:rRNA from 1 species
GACGAACGCUGGCGGCGUGCCUAAUACAUGCAAGUAGAACGCUGAAGAGAGGAGCUUGCUCUUCUUGGAUGAGUUGCGAACGGGUGAGUAACGCGUAGGUAACCUGCCUGGUAGCGGGGGAUAACUAUUGGAAACGAUAGCUAAUACCGCAUAAAAUUGAUUAUUGCAUGAUAAUUAAUUGAAAGAUGCAAUUGCAUCACUACCAGAUGGACCUGCGUUGUAUUAGCUAGUUGGUGAGGUAACGGCUCACCAAGGCGACGAUACAUAGCCGACCUGAGAGGGUGAUCGGCCACACUGGGACUGAGACACGGCCCAGACUCCUACGGGAGGCAGCAGUAGGGAAUCUUCGGCAAUGGGGGGAACCCUGACCGAGCAACGCCGCGUGAGUGAAGAAGGUUUUCGGAUCGUAAAGCUCUGUUGUAAGAGAAGAACGGGUGUGAGAGUGGAAAGUUCACACUGUGACGGUAUCUUACCAGAAAGGGACGGCUAACUACGUGCCAGCAGCCGCCGUAAAAC